UAAUGAAGUUUCCGUCUUCAGAAUUUGGAGAGAAUAGUAAACAAAUUAUGCUGUCACUCCUCCUGGAGUGCCCCGAGGGCUGUCACACCAAGCAAACACUUGAUGGCAUGUACAGGCAGAAGGAGCUGGAGAAAGAAUGACAUGCUGCUACACAUGCCUGCUCACAGAACCUGGGACCACUGUCACUUGGAUCAUGACCAACUACCAAGAUGGGAAGAAGGUUAGAACCAGCUGGCUGGAAGCCAAGUUGGAAGUUGACUUUAAGAUGGCGACAGGCUGUUGGAAAUAAACAAAUCAGCUCAUUUGGA